GGCGCCCCGAGUGGCACUCGCGAUUAUUGGGCCUAAAGCGUCCGUAGCCGGAUUGGUAAAUCCUCUGUGAAAUCGUACUGCUCAACGGUACGGCGCGCAGGGGACACUGCUAGUCUAGGGACCGGGAGGGGUCAGAGGUAUGCCGUGGGGACCGGUAAAAUGGGAUAAUCCACGGUAGACCACCAAUGGCGAAGGCAUCUGACCAGAACGGAUCCGACGGUGAGGGACGAAAGCCAGGGGAGCGAACC
rnacentral:rRNA from 1 species